rnacentral:tRNA from 1 species
UACUUAAUUAGUUUAUAAUAAAAAUAUUAAAUUGUGGAUUUAAAGAAGUUUUUCAUUAGGUAA